GAUGAACGCUGGCGGCGUGCCUAAUACAUGCAAGUCGAACGAACAGACGAGGAGCUUGCUCCUCUGACGUUAGCGGCGGACGUGUGAGUAACACGUGGAUAACCUACCUAUAAGACUGGGAUCACUUCGGGAAACCGGAUCUAAUACCAGAUAAUAUAUUGAACCGCAUGGGUCAAUGGUGAAAGACGGUUUUGCUGUCACUUAUAGAUGGAUCCGCGCCGCAUUAGAUAGUUGGUAAGGUAACGGCUUACCAAGGCAACGAUGCGUAGACGAACUGAGAGAGUGAUCGGCCACACUGGAACUGAGACACGGUCCAGACUCCUAAGGGAGGCAGCAGUAGGGAAUAUUCCGCAAUGGGGGAGAGCUUGACGGAGAAACGCCGCGUGAGUGAUGAAGGUCUUCGGAUCGUAAAACUCUGUUAUUAGGGAAGAACAAAUGUGUAAGUAAAUAUGCACGUCUUGACGGUACCUAAUCAGAAAGCCACGGCUAACUACGUG
rnacentral:rRNA from 1 species